rnacentral:rRNA from 1 species
GACGAACGCUGGCGGCGUGCUUAACACAUGCCAGUCGAACGGAAAGGCCCUGCUUUUGUGGGGUGCUCGAGUGGCGAACGGGUGAGUAACACGUGAGUAACCUGCCCUUGACUUUGGGAUAACUUCAGGAAACUGGGGCUAAUACCGGAUAGGAUCUCCUGCUGCAUGGUGGGGGUUGGAAAGUUUCGGCGGUUGGGGAUGGACUCGCGGCUUAUCAGCUUGUUGGUGGGGUAGUGGCUUACAAAGGCUUUGACGGGUAGCCGGCCUGAGAGGGUGACCGGCCACAUUGGGACUGAGAUACGGCCCAGACUCCUACGGGAGGCAGCAGUGGGGAAUAUUGCACAAUGGGCGGAAGCCUGAUGCAGCAACGCCGCGUGCGGGAUGACGGCCUUCGGGUUGUAAACCGCUUUCGCCUGUGACGAAGCGUGAGUGACGGUAAUGGGUAAAGAAGCACCGGCUAACUACGUG